UACGGGGGGGGCAAGCGUUGUUCGGAAUUACUGGGCGUAAAGGGCUCGUAGGCGGCCAACUAAGUCAGACGUGAAAUCCCUCGGCUUAACCGGGGAACUGCGUCUGAUACUGGAUGGCUUGAGUUCGGGGAGAGGGAUGCGGAAUUCCAGGUGUAGCGGUGAAAUGCGUAGAUAUCUGGAGGAACACCGGUGGCGAAGGCGGCAUCCUGGACCGACACUGACGCUGAGGAGCGAAAGCCAGGGGAGCAAACGGGG
rnacentral:rRNA from 1 species